rnacentral:misc_RNA from 1 species
ACACACACACACACACGCACGCACGCACGCGCGCACUUGUUUGUCUGUUUACACAAUAAUAUAACUCCAACCUCUGAAUUACGAAGCACUUUUUAAUUAAUUACCACUGUUGACCUCAAAUGGCUGGCCACUGACCGCAAAUGGUUAGCUACAACCACUGAACCAAAUAGGCCCUUAAUUGUACGUUCAGAGCUUUGUGUCAUUUUGAAGAAGAAAUUAAUGUAAUUUACUACAGGCAAUGGAUGUCAGCUAAUCCCUAUUCCUAUUGGGUGAUGCUUUGUUGGCUUUGAUUUUCUUAAAAGAAAUCUUAUUACUAUUAUGUUUUUGAGGUUGAUUCUUCAAUGGUACUAGAAUUUAUCCCUUUUUUUCCGAGAGAGAAUUGAGGAUGCAAUUGCUCUAGUUAUUUUCCUGUCAGAACAACAUUCUAAUGCAAUCUGUCCUGACACAAACUUUGCUGCAUUUUGUUAUAGAUCUUGAUGUGCAUUGCACAGG